CAACGAGCGCAACCCUUAUCCUUGUUUGCCAGCACGUAAUGGUGGGAACUCCAGGGAGACUGCCGGUGAUAAACCGGAGGAAGGUGGGGACGACGUCAAGUCAUCAUGGCCCUUACGAGUAGGGCUACACACGUGCUACAAUGGCAGAUACAGAGGGCAGCGAAGCUGCGAAGUGGAGCGAAUCCCUUAAAGUUUGUCGUAGUCCGGAUUGGAGUCUGCAACUCGACUCCAUGAAGUCGGAAUCGCUAGUAAUCGUGGAUCAGAAUGCCACGGUGAAUACGUUCCCGGGCCUUGUACACACCGCCCGUCACACCAUGGGAGUGGGCUGCACCAGAAGUAGAUAGCUUAACCUUCGGGAGGGCGUUUACCACGGUGUGGUUCAUGACUGGGGUGAAGUCGUAACAAGGUAGCCCUAGGGGAACCUGGGGCUGGAUCACCUCCUUACU
rnacentral:rRNA from 1 species